UCCCACCUGGUCAUCAAGAUGUCAGU
rnacentral:piRNA from 1 species